rnacentral:tRNA from 4 species
GUGGCUGUAGCUCAGUUGGUUAGAGCGCGAGCUUGUGGAGCUUGAGGUCGGGGGUUCGAGACCCCUCAGCCACCCCA